AAACAAACAGGCUUUGUCCUGGCCUUUCUAUUGGCUCUUAGCAAGAUUACACAUGCAAGCAUCCCCAUCCCGGUGAAGACGCCCUAUAAAUCAUUAUGACCAAGAGGAGCAAGCAUCAAGCACGCACACGCAGCUCAAAACGCUUUGCCUAGCCACACCCCCACGGGAGACAGCAGUGACAAAUAUUUAGCAAUAAACGAAAGUUUAACUAAGCUAUGCUAUAUUGAGGGUUGGUUAAUUUCGUGCCAGCCACCGCGGUCAUACGAUUAACCCUAGCUAAUAGAGAUCGGCGUAGAGGGUGUUUAAGAUCUGACAUAAUAAAGCUAAACUCCAUCUAAACUGUAAAACCCUAGCUGAUGUAAAAUAAACUACGAAAGUGGCUUUAAAACUUCUGAACACACAAUAGCCAGGACCCAAACUGGUAUUAGACACCCCACUAUGCUUGGCCCUAAACCUCAAUAGUUAGAUAACAAAACUACUCGCCAGAAUACUACAAGCAACAGCUUGAAACUCAAAGGACUUGACGGUGCUUUACACCCCCCCAGAGGAGCCUGUUCCAUAAUCGAUAAACCCCGAU
rnacentral:ncRNA from 1 species